rnacentral:rRNA from 1 species
AUUGAACGCUGGCGGCAUGCUUUACACAUGCAAGUCGAACGGUAACAGGUUAAGCUGACGAGUGGCGAACGGGUGAGUAAUGCAUCGGAACGUGCCCGGUCGUGGGGGAUAACGCAGCGAAAGCUGCGCUAAUACCGCAUACGAUCUGAGGAUGAAAGCGGGGGACCGUAAGGCCUCGCGCGAUCGGAGCGGCCGAUGUCAGAUUAGGUAGUUGGUGAGGUAAAGGCUCACCAAGCCAACGAUCUGUAGCUGGUCUGAGAGGACGACCAGCCACACUGGGACUGAGACACGGCCCAGACUCCUACGGGAGGCAGCAGUAGGGAAUUUUGGACAAUGGGCGAAAGCCUGAUCCAGCAAUGCCGCGUGCAGGAAGAAGGCCUUCGGGUUGUAAUCUGCUUUUGUACGGAGCGAAAAGGCUCUCUCUAAUACAGGGGGCUCAUGACGGUACCGUAAGAAUAAGCACCGGCUAACUACGUGCCAGCCGCCGCUGUAA